rnacentral:rRNA from 1 species
UACGUAGGGGGCUAGCGUUGUCCGGAAUCAUUGGGCGUAAAGCGCGUGUAGGCGGUCCGGUAAGUCCGCUGUGAAAGUCGGGGGCUCAACCCUCGAAAGCCGGUGGAUACUGUCGGGCUAGAGUGCGGAAGAGGCGAGUGGAAUUCCUGGUGUAGCGGUGAAAUGCGCAGAUAUCAGGAGGAACACCAAUGCGAAGGCAGCUCGCUGGGACGUUACUGACGCUGAGACGCGAAAGCGUGGGGAGCAAACAGG